UACGAAGGGGGCUAGCGUUGCUCGGAAUCACUGGGCGUAAAGGGUGCGUAGGCGGGUCUUUAAGUCAGGGGGGAAAUCCUGGAGCUCAACUCCAGAACUGCCUUUGAUACUGAAGAUCUUGAGUUCGGGAGAGGUGAGUGGAACUGCGAGUGUAGAGGUGAAAUUCGUAGAUAUUCGCAAGAACACCAGUGGCGAAGGCGGCUCACUGGCCCGGUACUGACGCUGAGGCACGAAAGCGUGGGGAGCAAACAGG
rnacentral:rRNA from 1 species